AUGGGAUUAGUGCCCUACAUUAGGUCCCGGUCAAUGGGAUUAGUGCACUACAUUAGGUCCCGGUCAAUGGGGUUAGUGCACUACAUUAGGUCCCGGUCAAUGGGAUUAGUGCCCUACAUUAGGUCCCGGUCAAUGGGGUUAGUGCACUACAUUAGGUCCCGGUCAAUGGGGUUAGUGCCCUACAUUAGGUCCCGGUCAAUGGGAUUAGUGCCCUACAUUAGGUCCCGGUCAAUGGGGUUAGUGCACUACAUUAGGUCCCGGUCAAUGGGGUUAGUGCCCUACAUUAGGUCCCGGUCAAUGGGGUUAGUGCCCUACAUUAGGUCCCGGUCAAUGGGGUUAGUGCACUACAUUAGGUCCCGGUCAAUGGGAUUAGUGCCCUACAUUAGGUCCCGGUCAAUGGGGUUAGUGCACUACAUUAGGUCCCGGUCAAUGGGGUUAGUGCCCUACAUUAGGUCCCGGUCAAUGGGGUUAGUGCCCUACAUUAGGUCCCGGUCAAUGGGAUUUAGUGCCCUACAUUAGGUCCCGGUCAAUGGGGUUAGUGCCCUACAUUAGGUCCCGGUCAAUGGGAUUAGUGCACUUAGGAAGGGAAUAGUGUUCGAUAUGGGACGUAUCCCGAGUGUGUUGAGCUCAGAGGAGAACCCAGGACGUGCUGAAUGGAACCCUAUUCCCUAUCCAGUCUUGCACUACGUCUGACCAGAGGCCCCAUAAGGGGGGCUAGUGCACUUAGGGGAAUAUAGUGCUAUUUGGGAUACACGAACCGUGUCUUCGAUUCUACUGCCAAAAUCAUUGUAAUAUAAGCAUGAAGACAUUUUUAUUUUUUAUUUUUUGGAAGGAAUUAAAUCCUGUUAAAAACUGGAUAAAAUACAAUGCUUGAAUUUGACAGUUGACAGUUUAUAUUUAAAUACGAGACAUUUCAACGAGAGGGAAAACUGUCGACGAGGUUGCCGUCCCAAAUAGCACUACUUUCGAGUGACUCCUUUUUUUUUUUUUCGGGGAGAUGCACUCGAUGGUCAUUUUUCAUAGCAAUGAAUGUAUUAGUUGAUUAACAUGUAUGUGUGUAAUUGCUGGUGACUAUUAUGGGAUGGGUAGUGGCUUAAACUCAAGGUACGCUGUGCGCUAUGACGUUGUCGGGCACCGGGGGGGACUUCCUGUUUAAAGACGACGACAAUUAGAAUCUUCCAAGAUUGAGGCUGGGAUUCAAUCUGAUCGCAGGUUGUGACAAAUGUCCCAGCGUUUCGCAGAGAUCCCCAUUCACAGUAAACGCGGCUCAGUCAGAAAUGUCCCAGCGUUUUCGCAGAGAUCCCCAUUCACAGUAAACGCGGCUCAGUCAGAAAUGUCCCAGCGUUUCGCAGAGAUCCCCAUUCACAGUAAACGCGGCUCAGUCAGAAAUGUCCCAGCGUUUCGCAGAGAUCCCCAUUCACA